rnacentral:piRNA from 1 species
AAAGCUCCUCUAGUGACUCUUAAGCC